ensembl:lncRNA LINC01091 long intergenic non-protein coding RNA 1091
GGAGCCUUGCUCUGUCGCCCAGGCUGGAGUGCAGUGGCGCAAUCUCGGCUUACUGCAAGCUCUGCCUCCUGGGUGCACGCCAUUCCCCUGCCUCAGCCUCCGGAGUAGCUGGGACUACAGGCGCCUGCCACUGCGCCCGGCUAAUUUGACAUUGCUCUUAAAACGAUGAGGCUUCCUCUUUGAAGAUCACAGGUGAGAAGAUUAGGUGCUUUCUCAGAAGCCCAGCAACCUGAUGGGAGUGUGGAGUGAGCAAGACCCAAAUCGGAGCUUCAUCCCUGCAUGGUUCAUUUUGCUUAUUUGGCAAACUUGCCCUGCAGAAUCUACUCAAGCUUCCUCAGUUUCUCAAAUCAUUCUUGGGCAACAAAUGAACAAGAAAGAGGACGUCUUAUUAUCUGGUGUCUGGCUUGCUGAUUUAAUAACCUAGGAGACAGUGUUUGAAGAACACAAACUCUAAAGUCCUUCACUUAAAAAAAAAAAAAAACUUUCCCAAAUUGCUUACCAUUUGGAAAAAUUGCCUUACCUUCUUCAGUCAUCUCUGAUGUUGUCAUCCUCAGAGUAAGAAGUACGCAUUCAUAAGGAACCAUAACGUCCUUCAGGAAAUCCAGUACACCCUACAAUUUUACCUAAAACUUUGAUGUUGUUUUUUCUGAGCAUUUUACCUUCUAGGGAAAUGGAUCUCAUGCUGUUUAUCAGUUUCUGAAAGUUGUUAUUAAUCUCCCCUCAUCCCAAAAUUGAAGAACUUUGCUUAAAUCUUAGAAUCAGAACUUUGGCUCCAGUAAUAAAGACUUUUCAAUAUCUUUAUCUGCCAUUGAGUCUUACCUAACGAAAUAAAGCCUCCAAAGUGGGAAUUUGAAA